rnacentral:rRNA from 1 species
CCCUUAGAUGUCCUGGGCCGCACGCGCGCUACACUGAGUGUCUGAGAUACGAGUCUGCCUGGUCCGGCAAGGUCUAGGUAAUCGCUAAAAGACACAUCAUGCUUGGGAUAGAUUAUUGCAAAUAUUAAUCUUGAACGAGGAAUUCCUAGUAAGCGCAAGUCAACAGCUUGCGUUGAUUACGUCCCUGCCCUUUUUACACACCGCCCGUCGCUACUACUGAUUGGAUGUUUAAGCGAGGUUCUCGAACUGCUAGCGACUUAGCUUCGGUGAGGUCGCAGUGUGGGAAGUGAACCUAGCUUUGGUGUCUAGAGGAAGUAAAAGUCGUAACA